AGUUUAUUCAGCAAACAUGUUUGUUAAUACUUAACAUACAGUAUGUUCAGUGUAUGAGGUUUCUGAUCAGACACAUAAUUAAUGGAUCACACACAUUGUGAUGUCGUCAGCAUCCAGCUCACCACAGCCGAUGGCACCACUUGAAUGUUCACCAAUACAUUAAAGAUUUUCUUUACAGUAUCUUAUCAAAGCAUGUUGCAGUGUCUUGGGGGGGAAAAAGACAACAAAAAGAUAAUCAAUCUUAUUUGUGUUCUCUAGCCGGGAAAUGCUAGAUCAGCAUCUCGCAGUCAGUUGGGGAUGUACCAGGACAGUACCAGUAAAGCAAAAGGGUCAAGAGCUUUAAUCUCACUUUACUUUUGUGGAGCACAUGUACUGGGAACUGCUUGAGUCACAUUACAGUAUUUACCAGCAGCAGGUGCAUGUUCUCACUGGGCACAAAUGCUUGUUUUUAUUUACUAAUAUCAAAUAACAAUUGACAACCAACUAUUACUCAUUAGAUAUUUAUUAACAAAAUUACUAAAGAAUCCAUUUUAAAUGUUUAAAAUUACAUCAAAGCACCAAUAAUGCAGCCAUUUAAAUGGGAAAUAAUGUAAGAUAAUGCAAGAUAAUGUGAUGUGUCACACACUUAUAAUUCCCUUGCAUGAAUGGUGACAAGUAGGUUAGCUGUGAGGGUUUUUUUUUUAAUUAAAUUAAAUUACAUGUUUAGGAAGAUUUUGCCUCUUCAUAAAGAAAUGCGUGUGUACAACAUACUGAUACAGUCAAUUAAAAAUUCAUUCUUAAGUUUUUGUAUAGGCCCACUUGCAUAUUGCAAUUAUAAUCUGUGGUUAUCAGAAAAUCCCACGGCACACCAUUUGAGAACCAGUGACCUACACUAUAAAUCCAAAAACAGUGAGUGAAGAAGUAUCUAGAUCUUUUACCUUUAUCAUAGUGCAAAAGCUUGGUAGCCUCACUUAUAAUAACACUUCAUCAUUUAUUAGUUGAUUUAACCUAUAUUUUGUAUUCAUCCAAAUCUGCAAAAUUACUAGUGACUAAAGUUAUGAAAUAAAUGCAGCUGAUAAAAGUGAGAUGUAGUGGAGUGGAAGGAGCAUAAAAUCUUACUGCAGUAGUCUACUUGAAUGAUUUUAGAAACCUGGAUGCAGUGAUUUGCAUUCGGCAUGUGUUGGAUGGGGCUGAGCUCUGGGACCUGUGCAUGCCAGUCGUGUUUUUGCACACCAUGCUCUGAAAACAAUUUAUUUAUGAGCAUUUGCUUUGUGCUCCAGGACAUUGUCAUAUUGAAACAGAAAAAGCCUUCCCUAAUCUGUUGCCGCAAAGUUGGAAGCAUACUGUGGACACACUGUGUUACCAAGAAGGAAGUGGGUAUACUCAGUAGUGAAGUGGUAGUUGAUGAGGUUGAUGUACUAUUGGGUAGAUGUGUAGGUUACAGACAGGGGCGGACUGGCCAUCUGGAGGUUCUGGAGAAUCACAGAAUGGCACUCCAGGACGGCCGGCGGCCACCAUGCAGUCAUCACUGUUUUUUUUUUUUGUUUUGUUUUUUUCUUUUUCUCCCUGAUAAUCUACUGUUCCACGUCCAGUCCGCUAGGUGGCAGCCUUUAAAUUGGAUGCCGGCCGGCCCAUAGAUAUCUAUGAGCCGGUCGGCCGCCAAUCAAAUUGAAGAAGAAGGAAGCGCAUACGUCACGCAAAUCGAGCAGCCGUGUGCAGCAGGCAGUCACCUGCAUUGUAUUGUUCAGCAGAGAGACAUCUGGACUGUGUUGUUUAUUUCUCAGUGAGUAUUCUACACUAUGCUCUUAACACAACAUCUAGUCAACAUCGGUGCUAUUGCUAUAAUUUGGUCCCAGUCCCCCAGGUUUUUAGUCCCAGUCUCCCCUGGUUACAGAGGAGGAAGUGGUAUCCUGCCGUAUAUGUAAAUUCCAGUGGCCAUUUGAUCAAUAGGUGGGCAUUCUGGAAAUGGCCAGAAGAAGACGCGGGUAUACAAUAUAUAUAUGUGUACACUCUCCACGACACCACUGGGUGUACUCUCUUAACGAUCCCCAUGGCUUUUUGACUUACAGGUGGAUAUAUGGUCAACGGCCAGAGCAGAGGGGGGGCUGGUGCCUUACCCAGCUGACAUUGGGCGAGAUGCGGGGUACGCUCUGGACAGGUUGCCAGACUAUCACAGGGCUGUCACAUAGUAAUAGACAACCAUUCACACUCACAUUCAAUUCUACAGCCAAAUUAGAGUCACCAAUUAACAUGCAAACUCUACACAGAAGGGCUCCUCCAUGCCGUGGAUUGAACCCCCAACCCCAGGUUCGAACCAGGAACCUGGGGUAUAUUUAUAAUAGGGAAACAUGGUUAGCCAAGAACAGUUCUUGCCACUUUCUAAGGCUGUUUGGUGAAUGUUGAAACCAAAUGGAAAAUAUUGUUUUGCAUUUUGUGCUUAUGGUACAUUUCUGUGUGCUCACCUCUCUCAGGCUAACCUCUUCUCGCCUCUACACAUUUUCACUUCACAAUCAAAACACUUACAGCUGACUGGAGCUGGUGCAGCAGGGCAAAAAUUUGGCAAACAUUUCCAACACCAUGUUGAAAGUCACCGAGAUCUCAUGUUUCUGCAAAUGUCUGUCAGAGGAGUACUGUAUGCCUGGCUUUAUGCUUGAUUUAAUGCAUGGUUAGCAAUAAGCGUGGCCUAUACACUCAAGCCCACUAAUUAACAGAGGUAUCCACAUAUUCAUGGAAAUAUACUUAACCACAUUCUGUCUCUUUCUUUCUCAUAUUUCUGGGAGAAAAAGGGAACUUGAUAGUUAAUUGAGUCAGCAGUCUCAUUAAUUAAAAAUUGCUUUUUUCUUCUUGAGAUCAGUGAGCAUAAGCAUUAACAGAAAUUAAAGGUCACAUUUGUCACUCAACGAGACUGGAGGUGGUAUUAUCUUAGUAGCUCUUUCAUAUUUGUUUUGGUGGCACAGCAGAGGAAGGAACACUCUGACAACCCGUGAAAGUGCACUGAUAGUUGAAAUUACAGUCAGCAUGAGGCUGUCAUCAUACUCCCCUCAACCCCCCUCCUCCAAUGCAAUGAGCAGAGAAAACAUGAUGGCAUGACUCUUCUUGUUCUAAGGAAAACCCCCAAGUGAAUAUGCCAGACUGUUGAACAAGUACUAGUUUUGAUGUUCUCUGUGUGGCUGUGUAGACAAUACUUUUUAUAUACAAUAAAUUUGCUUUUGCUGCCUGGAUUAUGUUCACUGGCAGGAAUCUUUUUUCUAAUCCAAGAGUGUGUGACAGUUUGUGCAGAAGUCAUAGGGAGAAUGAAGCAGAUGGUUGAGUGAAAACAGCUAGGUCAUAAUUAUAAUAUAUGUUGGGGGUGACGCACAUCCACAAUAUUAAACGUAUGCUUAAAAGGCAACAUAUUUAUUAAAAAUACAAAUAUUUUAAUGCCAGUGCGCCAACAGGCAACCAUUGGCUACGGUUACAUGAUAGCUUCUCAUUCGGAAUGAAAUAAAUCUGAAUGAAAUCAUUUGGAAUUAAAGUCUUUCCAGGUAGUUUACAUGGGAAAUAUUCAUUCCGAAUGAGGGUUUACAUGGGAGAUCAGUUCAAUCGCCUUUAUUCAGGUCUGCGCAAGGUUUGGGGCAGGGAAGGUUUCUGAUUGGACAGGGGGUGGGGCGGAUGUUACGUGUUUACGUUUACCGGAAGAAAACACUGUAGUCCUCGCUCCGGAUAACAAGAUGCUUGACGACGCCGACGCCUUUUUCAGGCGUGUUUUGCUUAUAUUCUUAAAGCAGCAAUACGACAACAACCUUGUUCUGCUAAUGCUUCAUCUGUUGAGGAGGAGAAGGGAGGUAGAAGGUCGAAGAAGGGAGAUAGAAGACCGUACUGUGGCGAAUGGAAACCGGUGAGCGCACCAAGUCCGACUGCUCUAUCUCAGCCUGUUGCUAUGCAGCCCAUUGCUAUGCGCACUACAUACGUUAUCGCGCUGGAAGGGCAAGGAAACGAGCAUGCGCAGAAAGACUGGAAUGAACUUAAAGAGGAAUGAGUGUAUACAUGCAUACAAAAGUCUUUCAUUCGGAAUGACAAACGGAAUAAACCACCUCCUUUAAUCGGAUUUAAUUUUCAAUCGGAAUGACUGUUUACAUGACCACUUUUAAUCGGAAUGGCCUUUCAUUCCGAUUAAAAGUGGAAUUAAACUGUGCAUGUAAACGUACUGAGUGUCAGGAUCCUAGUGUGUUUCCAUUGUUUUCCCUCCCCUUUUGUUUUUGUCUCGCCUUCCUGUCUUGUGUGUGUGUGUCUGUCUGGAGCUGGGUGGAGUUGGAGUCACCACUCACCUGCACACCUGCCAGCCAUCAGCAAUCAAGCCAUCUCCACCCCACUCUGUAUGAAAGCCUGGCCCAGUUCACAUCUCUUCAGCAGAUUGUCUGCUUACCUGUGUGAUCGUUCCUGUCUUGCUGCACUCAGCCUCACCCAGCCUCAUACCACCACAGCCAUACCCACCUGGAGCCUUCUGGACAUUCUCUGGACCCCUCAGACUCUGCAACCCCCACCCAGCUCCAGCUCCGCUCUUCUGUAAUUACAAUAAAAGACUUUCUUCAUCUACCAGCAGCUUUUCAGAGUCUUAUGUCUGCACUGUGGGUCCACAUUUGACACUUCCGUUAUGACAACCAUACCAAAAUAAUCAUUAGCAUACGUAACUGACAUAAAUAAACGUAACAACUUACCAUUAUUACUACUGUUUCUAGUAUUAUGGCAUAGGCUACUGCAGCUCUGCAAGUGGUUUGUCCAGGUGGUGUUGCCAUACCCGAGCAAAAGCCAUUGUUUGACUGGCCACUGGUACAACAAUAUAUUGUCUCUCAAUUUCAUUACUUUAAAAUGUUUUUUAAAGGGGAAAACUAGAAUGUGUAACAUGAGUGUUACGACCUAGGCUGAGCUGUAAUUGUGACAGCAGUGAACUGAAGAUCCAUGCAGAGCUUCCACAGCUGCUGUUCUCCUGGUAGAACAGUCUUUUUGCAGUGUUGAGUAAGGCAGAGAGACCACAGAGCAAUGCUCAGUUUAGUCCAGCCAUCUAUUCAUAGACAGAAAUACUCUCUUCAAUAGCCUGUUGAUGACACUAAGGCUUUCACGUGUGUAUCUCAGACAGAGUGAGAAUGCCAAGAGGCAGAUGAAGACGAAGGUGCAAGGGGGAAGGGAGGACCCUGGACCUUGCCAAAACAGCCAACUCUAAAUCUCAUACCUAGUCAAAUAGGACACUAUUUAGGGGUCGGUAACCUAAAGCGGGGUGCACACAUAAGGAUUUUAUAAAUCUUAAGAGAUUUUUUUUAUCUGUGAGAGACCCCACA